UCACUUUCCAAACACCCCUCAAACCGAGACCUAUAGGGUGUAUAAAUCACGUCUCUCAUACCCGACCUGGAGGGUAGGUUGGGAAUAUUUUACUCG
ncrna:unclassified sequences PhotoRC-II RNA